rnacentral:tRNA from 1 species
ACCUGGGUGGCUCAGUGGGUUGGGCAUCUGACUUUGGCCCAGGUCAUGAUCCUGUGCUUCGUGGGUUCAAGCCCCGCACCGGGCU